GCUUCAUGAAUAGCAGACUAGAUAUUCCAAGUAGUAUCGAUCCCCAAAUAGCAUCCAUCAUAUCGGAAUGUUGGACAAGCAACUCGGAAGAUCGGCCGUCGUUCAAAGACAUGAUCCCAAAACUGGCAGACUUAUUAGUACAAGCAAGUGGUGGAGGUUUGAAUAGAGCAGGUUCCCAGACUUAAAUUUGUUGAUGUUGCCGUGUCACCGGCUGGCCAGAGCAGCACUUGCUCUAACAUGAAAGGAAAAGGAAUUUGAAUGUGCUGUGUUUUUGGUUUUAGAUGCUGCUUUUCCUUCUCUUGUAGUUUGAUAACCACGUUUAUAUAUAAAUACCUCCAACUGUACAUUAUUGAAAUUAUGUUUAUGAGUUCUUAUGAAUGAGGCUAAUAAAGAUA